GACGAACGCUGGCGGCGUGCCUAAUACAUGCAAGUAGAACGCUGAAGGAGGAGCUUGCUUCUCUGGAUGAGUUGCGAACGGGUGAGUAACGCGUAGGUAACCUGCCUGGUAGCGGGGGAUAACUAUUGGAAACGAUAGCUAAUACCGCAUAAUAGUAGAUGUUGCAUGACAUUUGCUUAAAAGGUGCAAUUGCAUCACUACCAGAUGGACCUGCGUUGUAUUAGCUAGUUGGUGGGGUAACGGCUCACCAAGGCGACGAUACAUAGCCGACCUGAGAGGGUGAUCGGCCACACUGGGACUGGGACACGGCCCAGACUCCUACGGGAGGCAGCAGUAGGGAAUCUUCGGCAAUGGGCGGAAGUCUGACCGAGCAACGCCGCGUGAGUGAAGAAGGUUUUCGGAUCGUAAAGCUCUGUUGUAAGGGAAGAACGAGUGUGGGAGUGGAAAGUUCACACUGUGACGGUAUCUUACCAGAAAGGGACGGCUAACUACGUG
rnacentral:rRNA from 1 species